UACGAAGGGGGCUAGCGUUGCUCGGAAUCACUGGGCGUAAAGGGUGCGUAGGCGGGUCUUUAAGUCAGGGGUGAAAUCCUGGAGCUCAACUCCAGAACUGCCUUUGAUACUGAAGAUCUUGAGUUCGGGAGAGGUGAGUGGAACUGCGAGUGUAGAGGUGAAAUUCGUAGAUAUUCGCAAGAACACCAGUGGCGAAGGCGGCUCACUGGCCCGGUACUGACGCUGAGGUGCGAAAGCGUGGGGAGCAACAGG
rnacentral:rRNA from 1 species